rnacentral:rRNA from 1 species
GACGAACGCUGGCGGCGUGCUUAACACAUGCAAGUCGAACGGAAAGGCCCCUUUUGGGGUACUCGAGUGGCGAACGGGUGAGUAACACGUGAGUAACCUGCCCUUGACUUCGGGAUAACUUCAGGAAACUGGGGCUAAUACCGGAUAGGAAUCCUUGCUGCAUGGUGGGGGUUGGAAAGCUUCGGCGGUUUUGGAUGGACUCGCGGCUUAUCAGCUUGUUGGUGGGGUAGUGGCUUACCCAGGCUUUGACGGGUAGCCGGCCUGAGAGGGCGACCGGCCACAUUGGGACUGAGAUACGGCCCAGACCCCUACGGGAGGCAGCAGGGGGGAAUAUUGCACAAUGGGCGGAAGCCUGAUGCAGCAACGCCGCGGGCGGGAUGACGGCCUUCGGGUUGGAAACCGCUUUCAGCAGGGGCGAAGCUUGUGGUGACGGUACCUGCAGAAGAAGCACCGGCUAACUACGUG